AACGAACGCUGGCGGCAGGCCUAACACAUGCAAGUCGAGCGAGACCUUCGGGUCUAGCGGCGGACGGGUGAGUAACGCGUGGGAACGUGCCUUUUGCUUCGGAAUAGCCCCGGGAAACUGGGAGUAAUACCGAAUGUGCUCUACGGAGGAAAGAUUUAUCGGCAAAAGAUCGGCCCGCGUUGGAUUAGGUAGUUGGUGGGGUAAUGGCCUACCAAGCCGACGAUCCAUAGCUGGUUUGAGAGGAUGAUCAGCCACACUGGGACUGAGACACGGCCCAGACUCCUACGGGAGGCAGCAGUGGGGAAUCUUAGACAAUGGGGGAAACCCUGAUCUAGCCAUGCCGCGUGAGCGAUGAAGGCCUUAGGGUUGUAAAGCUCUUUCACCGGGGAAGAUAAUGACGGUACCCGGAGAAGAAGCCCCGGCUAACUCCGUGCCAGCCGCCGCAGUAACAC
rnacentral:rRNA from 1 species